CGGGAUAUGGCGCAGUUGGCUAGCGUACUUGUCUGGGGGGCAAGUGGUCGUCGGUUCAAGUCCGACUAUCCCGA
rnacentral:tRNA from 1 species